UGACAGUUCAGAUUGCUCUGUGGAAAAAUACUUUUAUUUGCCUGGGAUGUACUUUAAAACAAGCUCAUCCCAAGACUUUAAGGCAGUGGUUCUCAACCUUCCUAAUUCUGUGACCCUUUAAUAUGGUUCCUCAUGAUGUUGUAAUGCCCAACCCUAAAAUCAUCUCAUUGCUAUAAUUUUGCUACUGUUAUGAAAUAUAAUGUAAAUAUAUGAUAUGCAGGAUAUCUGAUAUGUGACCUCCACAGGCUGAGAACCACUGCUUUAAGGCAUGAAUGAGGCUACUAUUGACUUUAGACCACGGGAAGCAAUAGGAUGACUUCAGAGACCUUUCUCCAAAACAUGACUUUUGUGUCCUGCUAACUGCUGGUCCCUGGAUCUCUCACCACUCAGCUUCCUGGUGACUUGGUGUGGCCAGACCUGCCUGGUAUGCACUGUGAGCUCUGGUUGGCCUAAAUUGAUCAUGGUUUUCCUAGUUGCUAGUCAGUUCAGUCACCAAGUCUGAGCCAAGCAUCUGUGUGUAUACCAGAAAGUAGUGCAGGAAGCAAUGCAGGCCGUGCAGGCUUUAGGCCUUUCAUUCUAUCCUCCACAGAAAAGGGAAAGCGUGGGGUGGGAGUAAGGGCAUGUCAGAGUGGCUUUCUUGACAGAAAGCUAUCUAUCUUGAGACUGUGAGAAAGCCAGCUUGAGGUUGAAACCAAAACAGAGAGAAGCUGAGCCUCCAGAAAUGCAGAGAGAAAACAUGAGUCCUGUCCCAUUUCCUAGACUUGUCUUCCAUUGUAUGAGCAAUAAAUCCCCUUGUUUCGGUCGUCUGUGGGCUAAUUUCGUUUGACUUUUCAAAGACAUAUUGAAGUAUCCACACCCCCUCUUCCUUUACCAUGGUUUCUGAAAUCCCUACUAGUGAUUCCAUUCCAGAUCUUGUGUUGGACACCACACAACAACCAAGUUUUAGGCAGAAGUACCUGACUUGAGAUCAUCAAAAUAUAGACAGAGCAACAGAUUUAAUACUAGAUGGCUUACUCAAAGAGUGUUUCCCUAAGGGAGCACUGAGAAAACUGUGAAAAGUAUAGUUAAACUCAUUUGAUUCCAUAUUUAUUCCUUUUCUGCCCUUUGUGAUUGUGUUGAUUUUUUCUUCCUUCCAUUACACAUCUUCCGUAUCUAUCUGUUCACAUCCCACAAGUUUUGAAACAAACACAAGAGCUUGCUUCCAUUAAUGGCUUCCUUGCCACCCUCACCUUGAAGAAAACUAGCCCCUUCCAGAGAAUGGACUGCUCUCCCACACACAACUAGAUCGAGAACUGUUUGCCUGCAGAGGACCUGGUUAGAUUAUCUUCUUCAUAUUAUUUUAAGCAUUAACACAACAUGUCUAUAACCUUGGUAUCUCUGAGAAAAUAAAUCCAGUGACUGAAAACCACUGAACCAGAGUUGCUUCUCUCGAGGUGGUUUCAGCAUCACAACCAUCAGCAUCUCCUGAGACUAUGGAAGACACAAGAAUGUAUGGAACCUUCAGAACCAGAGGCUCUUGGGUGAAGCCCAACAGGUGUUUAACAGGCUGUCUGAAAUCUACUGUGCUUGGAAUUUGAAUAACAAGUAGACUCGAGAAAGCCUUAAGUUAUGGAUUGAGGAGCAGAUGACCCUGGUCAUCUAAGAGCAGGCUGAAGAUCAAGGACACCUGUGCUUCCUUAGAUCAAACCAUAACAGCCAUGGAGGAUCUGGCUAGAGAGUGGUAAGCUCACAGUGCCCAGGUUGCCUAUCCAGAGCUGAGAGUCCUGCUAGUCUGGUGUCCAGGCUUCGACUUGAUGCCCAGAGUAUCCUGGUCAGGUGAGAAAACUGGGCUGGAGUUAGAGAUGGAUUCCACAUUGAGCUUCAGAUCCUGUCCUUUCUUCUGGAAGAUUAUUCUACUUCCUCAGCACCAUGAAGAUUAGGAAACUCACAGGUGCACUCUCCUUGCAUUAGGAAAUUCACAGGCGCAUUCUCCCUGUGCAUGCUAACAUCUACACACAAGUAUGCACAGGACUGUUCAAAAUGGAUGCAGUUGGGAACUUGCACCCAAUAUGAAUACAAACUCCACUCUACUAAAAAUGUCCCCAAAUUGUGAUCCCAAGUUUGGUAAGCACUUCAAAGGGGUAAUCUACUUUGAGACCUAAAAUGCAUCUAGGUCCUAAUUUCCAAUACCUGCAUCUGCUUUUUGGCCAUCAGCACAUUUUAAUACAGGAUAUGUCACAUCCUUGGUUUCAGUUCAGAACUCUAGGAGCACACAAGCUCUAUUUCCCCUUUGCUGGAAUGCUGAUAUAAUCAGACUACAUACCUUCAGAACACUAUUCUGACUCGACUGAAGGAAGCUUACCUCCACACAAGGAAGAAAUUGUGGAAAGAAGACAGUUUGAGCAGAAGCAGGAGAAAUGCUGGACUUGCUCUCAUCUAUUUUUAAAGAGUUGUCAGAUGUCUGUAACUGACACCCUUAACUGGAAUUUCUGAGGUUUAAAUAUGUUCAUUAAGAUUUACUAAAAUGUAACACGAUAAUGAAUCCACUUUUUAAAUUGAUUUCCCUUUUGGGCUGACUUUUUAAUCUCAAGGUUUCUUUCAUCUAUUUAGUGACAGAGUAGGUCUGUAUAAGUCAUUUUUAAAUACCCAGUGGUUUUCCAGCAACCUGAUCUAUUCCUGCACAACACACUGCUGCCCACCUAGAAAGCCAACAUUUUCUAAUCAUUCAGAUAAUCUCAUGAGAAAAGAAUAUUUGAAAAAAAAUUUCAAACACCCAGGCCUAGUAUCAACUAAAUAUUUGCCUUGAUUCCUCAAGUUUAGAGUAGAUAUGAUUUUCAUUUACAAAUCGAUCCUUUGGGCCACUCUUUGUGUUUGUUAUUUCUAACUGCUAAAACAGAUGUGAAAGGAAUUAUUUUAAUCAGUGGCAAACCAAAAUAAACAAACUUUUAAAAAUGUUCCCAAGUUUCAUAGAGGUCAGAGGGGACUUGACACAAGACCUGGAGCAUUUGGCCACAUUAAAGCCCUGUACAUCUCAAUAUCCCAUCCAGCCUUGGUCUGUCUCAGAAGAAAACAGCCUGCUUUGUUCUCUGUCAUAGAAAAUGUCAAUGGUGAUAUUUAAGGCACAGCCAAUCCUUGUUAAAAACCGAAAGUCUGCAUACUUACUUUUCAAUACUGUCUAUCCGAGAGAUGUUAUUGGAGGGCUGGCUUGUUGUUGGGGUCCCCUGGCUGUAUGUGAAGCAUGGAUUGGAAGUCCUUAUGUCCUGGUCCCCUGACAGGGACUCAGAUUCAGGGUCUUGUCCACAAAUAGAUCAAAGUGCAGUUGGGUCUGUUUCAGAAAAACUCAUGUCUUCCUAGGAGGGAAAAGUCCGUGCCCAAGCAAGUUCUGGAAGGAGAGCCUGUUUUGCCUGCCCUUGAAUGAAAUAGGUCACUUCUGAAGCUGGAGAAUAUUCUUUAGCAUCACUGUGAUGAAACUUGAGGGCUGUUUUCUGCAGUAGGUGCCACACUUGUUGACGCUGCUUGUCUGCCGGAGAGGCCCUGGCAAAGGGACUUGAUGAAACACAGCCCCAAGGGAGCUGAAGUCCAGAAGCACUGUCACUGACUGCUGCUGGAGAAGGAAGGACAGCUCUCUGCAAAAAGUCUAUUCAGGACCUUGAUUUAAUUGCCCUCCUCUUAGGAAAGCAAUUGUGUUGGGGGAAUUUGGCAUUUGAAAUCAUGAUAGAAAACCACCGGGGGAGGGUGGACAGGAGCUGAAAAUAAGAGCUCAUGUGUUGUUCCUUUACUAUAUCUUCUGAAAUUCUCUGGGGGGGAGACACAAAGGCAAGACACCCCCCUCAGGAAUUUGAGGCCAUUUUGGUGAUAUGAUGAGUUUAAGGCCAGCCUAGGCUAUAUGAAACCUUGUCUUAAAAACAGUCAGGCAUGGUAGCACACACCUUUAAUCCCAGCACUUGGGAGGCAGAGAUAAGCAGAUCUCUGUGAGUUUGGGGUCAGCCUGGUCUAUAUAAAGAAUUUUAGGCCAGUCAGGGCUAUAUAGAGAGACCCUAUCUCUAAGUAAGUAAAUAAACAAAAAAUAUGAAAAAAACAGAAAAGUGCCACAGCCCUAGUCCUUCAGUUUGUCAGCAAUUAUUCCUGUUUCAUGGUAGUUUUAAUAUGGGCUUUUCUUUGAAAUUUGUUCAAACUCAAGAAAGGACAUGGAAAAUCCAGAGGCGUCCUUUUGUAAGUCCCCUUGCCUCACUACAAAAAUAUUUUAAUGUUUGAUACCUGGAAACCGACUAGCUAGAAGGAAACCUCUUGUGAGACAGAGAUGGCUAAAAUUAGCAGCUCUAAGUGGGUGACUUUGAAAGGGACAUGACCGAAACUCCACUCUGUGGUGAGCACCGAGCUCCUCAAAAGCAACACGUCUGUGCACAGUACAGUGUGCUCCUCGCUGUUCUGGGAAGAAGAGUCUCACCAAACAAAAAAGUCACUAUCUGAAGUUAUUAAAUAUCAAAAUGUAGUCUGUCCAGCAAAGGGGUUUGGUUCUUUGGUUUUAUCUACACAAGGGAAGGAAGAUAUUGAAAGCCCAAAGGCUCUGAAGUAACACCACCCCCCUUGCAAACACACCCAUGAAAUGGGACUGAACACAGAGAGAAUCAAAUCCCUGUGAGUGUGGACAUCAUCUCUUUUCAUGUAAAGUUGGUGGUCUUCUCAGCCUGAGGUCUGUUCCAGAGAAAGAGAGAAAACUUGAAAAUGGGGACAAAAAUGUGUGGCAAUAAAGAAUAAACAGAUUGGGCCCUUAAGACAGCUCAGUGGGUAAAGGCACUUAUCACCAAGCCUGGCAACAUGAGUCCCAUCCUGGGGCUCACUUGCUAGAAGAGAAGGACCAAUUCCUGCAGGUUGUCCUCCAACCACUAUGCAUACUGCGGCACAUGCAUACAUGCACACUAAAUACAUAAAUAAACAAAUGUACUAAAAAUGCUAAGAACAAACAAAGGUCACAAAGCAGGAGAGGAUAAAGUCAAAAGUGAACAAAUGGCCCAAGACAACAGAUCAAUAUGACAUGGCAAGGAGAGAAGAUGUGCAUAUAUGGGGCAGCUGAAAUUCACUCUGAGGCUUACUUUUGUUCCAAGCCCAAUCCCUUGAAUUCCUAGUAUUUGUCUCCUAAUAAAAUAGAUGUAAUAAUACAGAUAUCUGCAUAUCCAUGUUUGCUGCAGCAGAAUUCACAAUGACCUGGUUAUGGAAUCAGCUUACAUGCUCCUCAACAGAUAAUGGAUAAUGGAUAAAGAAAAGACGGCACAUGUGCACAAUAGACUAUUCAAUCAGCCAUUCCAGGAAAUAAAGGUAUGCUGUUUGCAGGAAAAUGGAUGGAACUGGAAGUCAUCGUGCAAGAUAAGCCAGUCUUACAAAGACAAGUGCGAUGGUUAAUCAUUGCCAACUUGACUGAGAAGUCACCACUGAAAAACACCUCUGAUGUGGGCGAGGGUAUUUCCAGAACGAUUGGCUGGGGCUGGAAAACUAACCCUGAAUGUGGGCAGCGCCGUUCUAUGAACUGGGGUCCUGGAAUGGAUGAACAUGAGAAGGCUAGCUAAACAGCACAUUCAUCAUCCACUCUGCUUCCUCACUGCAGAUGCCUCGUGUACCUGCCGCUACACCUCUCCUUAACGUGACGGGAUGCGUCGUCUCCAACUAUAUGCCAAAAUAAACCAUUCCUCAGUCAGGUUGCUUCUUGUCUGGUCUUUGAUCGUG
ensembl:lncRNA